AGAACGUUGUGUGGUAGGCGUAACAGGAGGUCGAGCGGAUGAGAGGAGCUUGCUCCUCGAUUCAGCGGCGGACGGGUGAGUAAUGCCUAGGAAUCUGCCUAGUAGUGGGGGACAACGUUUCGAAAGGAACGCUAAUACCGCAUACGUCCUACGGGAAAAAGUGGGGGAUCUUCGGACCUCACGCUAUUAGAUGAGCCUAGGUCGGAUUAGCUAGUUGGUAGGGUAAAGGCCUACCAAGGCGACGAUCCGUAACUGGUCUGAGAGGAUGAUCAGUCACACUGGAACUGAGACACGGUCCAGACUCCUACGGGAGGCAGCAGUGGGGAAUAUUGGACAAUGGGCGAAAGCCUGAUCCAGCCAUGCCGCGUGUGUGAAGAAGGCCCUCGGGUCGUAAAGCACUUUAAGUUGGGAGGAAGGGCUUACAGCGAAUACCUGUGAGUUUUGACGUUACCGACAGAAUAAGCACCGGCUAACUUCGUGCCAGCAGCCGCGGUAAUACGAAGGGUGCAAGCGUUAAUCGGAAUUACUGGGCGUAAAGCGCGCGUAGGUGGCUUGAUAAGUUGGAUGUGAAAUCCUCGGGCUCAACCUGGGGAACUGCAUCCAAAACUGUCUGGCUAGAGUGCGGUAGAGGGUAGUGGAAUUUCCAGUGUAGCGGUGAAAUGCGUAGAUAUUGGAAGGAACACCAGUGGCGAAUGCGACUACCUGGACUGACACUGACACUGAGGUGCGAAAGCGUGGGGAGCAAACAGGAUUAGGAUACCCCUGGUAGUCCACGCCCGUAAACGAUGUCAACUAGCCGUUGGGAAUCCUUGAGAUCUAAGUGGCGCAGCUAACGCAUUUAGUUGACCGCCUGGGGGAGUACGGUCGCUAAGGUUAAAACUCAUAUGAAUUGGCCGGGGGCCCGCCACAGCUGGUGGACCAUGUGGUUUAAUUCGAAGCAACCGCGAGAACCUUACCUGGCCUU
rnacentral:rRNA from 1 species